rnacentral:lncRNA from 1 species
UCGAUGAUUAAAAUUAGAAAUUAGGGUUACGGAUCAUCUUCUUCACCCCUUGCGUCGGUGCUCUGUUCAUCUCCCGUGGUGUGGACUUCGUAGUAUCGUAAUCUCACGGUUGAAGCACCUUACUAACCCUAAGAAUCGCUACCCCUCUCUCUCUCUCUGUCGUUGGCUGAUUCGCUCGCCAAACCCAUCUCUGAUACAGGUAAGAUACGAAUCUCGAUCAAUGCCAGUGAUUAUCGCUUGAUUUGGGCAUCCUCAAAUUGAUUGAAAUUGCUUAAAUCUUGAGUCUUUCAUACGAAUUUCGAUCGGAUUUGAGAUUAAAUUGGUCACUUUGGAUGUUUUGUGUAUGUCUCAGCUGUGAUGGAACCAGGACAGAACACAAGCGCAGCAGGGAUUGGUGGAAGCAACGGUACAACUACGAUGGGAUAUCAAACCAAUGAUGGAACUGCCACUGCGUCUGAAGAUUCAAAGGAGAAUCUGAACCAAGUCAUUAACUCGAUUCAGAAGACUUUGGGACUCCUUCAUCAGUUACACCUUACUGUCUCCUCUUUCACGCCCGCUUCUCAGCUUCAUCUCCUCCAGCGCCUGUACUUCCUCUCUUUCCCAUCACUCUCUGUUCUAUAAAGAUCAUAGUUUUGUGGGUAUUGCUUUAAUGAGAAUGUGUGUAUCUUUGCAGCAAUUCUCUGGUGUCGGAGCUGAAUAGCAUGACUAAGUUGUCCGAGAAAUGCAACAUUCAAGUCCCCAUGGAAGUUCUUAGGUGAGCAUCAUGUCCUUUUUAUGCAAAACUUUGCUUUGGGUUUCUGAUGGUUACUGGUGGCUUUGCUUACUAGCUUGAUUGAUGAUGGGAAGAACCCGGACGAGUUUACAAGGGAUGUUAUUAAUAGCUGCGUUGCCAGGAAUCAAGUUACAAAGGGCAAGACUGAUGCUUUCAAGGUGGACUCCCUUUCUCUGCUGAGUCUUUUAACUUGGGUAUGGGAUUUUUACUCUUUUUUUUUUGAAAAUAUUGUUUCAACCAAACCCGAUCCAAUAUACGUCAGCAAUUAGUAGAAAAGCCACGUCAGCAAUUCAUAGUGUGUCCGUCGAUGAUUAAAAUUAGAAAUUAGGGUUACGGAUCAUCUUCUUCACCCCUUGCGUCGGUGCUCUGUUCAUCUCCCGUGGUGUGGACUUCGUAGUAUCGUAAUCUCACGGUUGAAGCACCUUACUAACCCUAAGAAUCGCUACCCCUCUCUCUCUCUCUGUCGUUGGCUGAUUCGCUCGCCAAACCCAUCUCUGAUACAG